GACGAACGCUGGCGGCGUGCUUAACACAUGCAAGUCGAGCGGUAAGGCCCUUUCGGGGGUACACGAGCGGCGAACGGGUGAGUAACACGUGGGUGACCUGCCCUCAGCUCUGGGAUAAGCCUGGGAAACUGGGUCUAAUACCGGAUAUGACCACAUGUCGCAUGGUGUGUGGUGGAAAGUUUUUUCGGCUGGGGAUGGGCCCGCGGCCUAUCAGCUUGUUGGUGGGGUGAUGGCCUACCAAGGCGACGACGGGUAGCCGGCCUGAGAGGGCGACCGGCCACACUGGGACUGAGACACGGCCCAGACUCCUACGGGAGGCAGCAGUGGGGAAUAUUGCGCAAUGGGCGAAAGCCUGACGCAGCGACGCCGCGUGGGGA
rnacentral:rRNA from 1 species